rnacentral:lncRNA from 1 species
GGGAUUCGAAACGGAAGGUAGGUCAAAAAAACAGGGGAGCGACGGUGGUUUUGCGCACGUCCUCCGGCCACGCCAGCAUACCCAGCCAAAGGUCUCCGGCGGCAGAUGAGCACCCGUGCCCCCCUUCCGGCUGGCGUCCGCCUGCUCCCAUCCUUUCCGGCCGAGGAUUCCGCGUUCGAUUUCCUCUUUCGGGCGGAGCCAGGGAACUCGCCCAGCUUCCAGCUAGACAGUUCGAGCAAUCCGGUCCAUUCGGACCGGCCGUUGGCUAAUGACGGUCGACUCUUCACAUUUCAGCAGUGUAUCUAAAAUUUUUGGUCUCUCAGCGCGCGCGCGCGUGUGCAUAUACCAUCAUUAUUUCUUAAA